GACGAACGCUGGCGGCGUGCUUAACACAUGCAAGUCGAACGGAAAGGCCCUGCUUGCAGGGUACUCGAGUGGCGAACGGGUGAGUAACACGUGGGUGAUCUGCCCUGCACUUCGGGAUAAGCCUGGGAAACUGGGUCUAAUACCGGAUAGGAGCCAUUUUUAGUGUGAUGUUUGUAAAGUUUUUUCGGUGUAGGAUGAGCUCGCGGCCUAUCAGCUUGUUGGUGGGGUAAUGGCCUACCAAGGCGGCGACGGGUAGCCGGCCUGAGAGGGUGGACGGCCACAUUGGGACUGAGAUACGGCCCAGACUCCUACGGGAGGCAGCAGUGGGGAAUAUUGCACAAUGGGCGCAAGCCUGAUGCAGCGACGCCGCGUGGGGGAUGACGGCCUUCGGGUUGUAAACUCCUUUCGCUAGGGACGAAGCUUUUUGUGACGGUACCUAGAGAAGAAGCACCGGCUAACUACGUG
rnacentral:rRNA from 1 species